rnacentral:rRNA from 1 species
AUAAGUAAUGUGAAUUGCAGAUUUUCAGUGAAUCAUCGAAUCUUUGAACGCACCUUGCGCUCCUUGGUAUUCCGAGGAGCAUGCCUGUUUGAGUGUCAUUAAAUUCUCAAACUCUGAUUGAUUUGUUUCAAUCGGAGGUUUGGAUUUGGAGCGUGCCGGCGUCAUGUCGGCUCCUCUUGAAUGCAUCAGCGGAAUCCCAUUCAUUUCGGACGUCAGUGUGAUAAUCAUGUUGCGCUGUCUUUGCGAUCUUGAAAGCCCGCUCACAAUGGUCUUCGGACAAACCUCACAUAUCAUAUUUGACCUCAAAUCAGGUAGGACUACCCGCUGAACUUAAGCAUAUCAAUAAGCGGAGGAAAAGAAACUAACAAGGAUUCCCCUAGUAACUGCGAGUGAAGCGGGAAAAGCUCAAAUUUAAAAUCUGGCGGUCUCGCGGCCGUCCGAGUUGUAAUCUGGAGAAGCGUCUAUCCGCGUCGGACCGUGUACAAGUCUUCUGGAAGGGAGCGUCAUAGAGGGUGAGAAUCCCGUCUUUGACACGGACAACCGAUGCUUUUGCGAUGCGCUCUCGAAGAGUCGAGUUGUUUGGGAAUGCAGCUCAAAAUGGGUGGUAAAUUCCAUCUAAAGCUAAAUAUUGGCGAGAGACCGAUAGCGAACAAGUACCGUGAGGGAAAGAUGAAAAGCACUUUGGAAAGAGAGUUAAACAGUACGUGAAAUUGUUGAAAGGGAAACGUUUGAAGUCAGUCGCGUCGGCCGAGACUCAACCUUGCUCUUCGCUCGGUGCACUUCUCUGUUGACGGGUCAGCAUCAAUUUCGACCGCCGGACAAAGGUCAGGGGAAUGUGGCAUCUUCGGGAUGUGUUAUAGCCCUUGAUUCGCAUACGGCGAUUGGGAUUGAGGAACUCGGCGCUUCACGCGUCCAGGAUGCUGGCAUAAUGGCUUUAAGCGACCCGUCUUGAAACACGGACCAAGGAGUCUAACAUGCCCGCGAGUGUUUGGGUGUCAAACCCGAGCGCGUAAUGAAAGUGAAAGUUGAGAUCCCUGUCGUGGGGAGCAUCGACGCCCGGACCAGACCUUCUGUGACGGAUCUGCGGUAGAGCGUGUAUGUUGGGACCCCGAAAGAUGGUGAACUAUGCCUGAAUAGGGUGAAGCCAGAGGAAACUCUGGUGGAGGCUCGUAGCGAUUCUGACGUGCAAAUCGAUCGUCGAAUUUGGUAUAGGGCGAAGACUAUCGACCAUCUAGU